AAAUCCCACGGCUCAACCGUGGGGCUUGCUGGGGAUACUGCGGGCCUUGGGACCGGGAGAGGCCGGGGGUACCCCUGGGGUAGGGGUGAAAUCCUGUAAUCCCAGGGGGACCGCCAGUGGCGAAGGCGCCCGGCUGGAACGGGUCCGACGGUGAGGGACGAAGGCCAGGGGAGCGAACCGGAUUAGAUACCCGGGUAGUCCUGGCUGUAAAGGAUGCGGGCUAGGUGUCGGGCGAGCUUCGAGCUCGCCCGGUGCCGAAGGGAAGCCGUUAAGCCCGCCGCCUGGGGAGUACGGCCGCAAGGCUGAAACUUAAAGGAAUUGGCGGGGGAGCACUACAAGGGGUGGAGCGUGCGGUUUAAUUGGAUUCAACGCCGGGAACCUCGCCGGGGGCGACGGCAGGAUGAAGGCCAGGCUGAAGGUCUUGCCGGACGCGCCGAGAGGAGGUGCAUGGCCGCCGUCAGCUCGUACCGUGUGGCGUCCACUUAAGUGUGGUAACGAGCGAGACCCGCGCCCCCAGUUGCCAGUCCUCCCCGCUGGGGAGGAGGCACUCUGGGGGGACUGCCGGCGAUAAGCCGGAGGAAGGAGCGGGCGACGGUAGGUCAGUAUGCCCCGAAACCCCCGGGCUACACGCGCGCUACAAUGGGCGGGACAAUGGGAUCCGACCCCGAAAGGGGAAGGGAAUCCCCUAAACCCGCCCCCAGUUCGGAUCGCGGGCUGCAACUCGCCCGCGUGAAGCUGGAAUCCCUAGUACCCGCGUGUCAUCAUCGCGCGGCGAAUACGUCCCUGCUCCUUGCACACACCGCCCGUCACUCCACCCGAGCGGGGUCCGGGUGAGGCCUGGUCUCCCUUCGGGGAGGCUGGGUCGAGCCUGGGCUCCGUGAGGGGGGAGAAGUCGUAACAAGGUAGCCGUAGGGGAACCUACGGCUCGAUCACCUCCU
rnacentral:rRNA from 1 species